rnacentral:rRNA from 1 species
UUGCCAUGGGGGAAACCCUGAAUGCAGCCAUGCCGCGUGUGUGAAGAAGGCCUUCGGGUUGUAAAGCACUUUCAGCGAGGAGGAAAGGUUGGUAGCUAAUAACUGCCAGCUGUGACGUUACUCGCAGAAGAAGCACCGGCUAACUCCGUGCCAGCAGCCGCGGUAAUACGGAGGGUGCAAGCGUUAAUCGGAAUUACUGGGCGUAAAGCGCACGCAGGCGGUUGGAUAAGUUAGAUGUGAAAGCCCCGGGCUCAACCUGGGAAUUGCAUUUAAAACUGUCCAGCUAGAGUCUUGUA